UACGUAGGGUGCAGGCGUUUAAUCGGAAUUACUGGGCGUAAAGCGUGCGCAGGCGGUCUUUUAAGUCAGAUGUGAAAUCCCCGGGCUUAACCUGGGAACUGCGUUUGAAACUGGAAGGCUAGAGUGUGGCAGAGGGGGGGUGGAAUUCCACGUGUAGCAGUGAAAAUGCGUAGAGAUGUGGAGGAACACCGAUGGCGAAGGCAGCCCCCUGGGCUAACACUGACGCUCAUGCACGAAAGCGUGGGGGAGCAAACAGG
rnacentral:rRNA from 1 species